UUUUUAAUUGAGAUCUUGUAUGAAUGAUUGGACAAGAGAAAUACUGUCUUUAUAUUAAAAAUUGAAUUUAACUUUUAAGUGAAAAGGCUUAAAUAUACUAGAGGGACGAUAAGACCCUAUAAAACUUUACAUUGAUAUUAGAUUUUAUGGAAUUUAAAAUUAUAAUAAUUAAAUUUAAUUUUUUUGUUAUGUUGGGGAGACAAAAGCUAUAAUUAUGUAUAACUGCUUUAAAAGAAAACAAUAAUAAGUGGAAGUAAAAUUAUAGAUCCUUUAUAAAGAUUACGAGAUUAAGUUACUUUAGGGAUAACAGCGUUAUUUUUUUUGAGAGUCCAUAUCGAAAAAAAAGAUUGCGACCUCGAUGUUGAAUUAAAAUAUCUUUAUAAUGCAGGUGUUAUAGAAGAAGGUCUGUUCGACCUUUAAUUUU
rnacentral:rRNA from 1 species